rnacentral:rRNA from 1 species
AUACGGAAGGUCCGGGCGUUAUCCGGAUUUAUUGGGUUUAAAGGGAGCGCAGGCGGAGAUGCAAGCGUGACGUCAAAUUUCGGGGCUCAACCCCGUCUCGCGUCGCGAACUGCGUCCCUUGGUUGCGGGAAGGGGAGGCGGAACUCGUGGUGUAGCGGUGAAAUGCAUAGAUAUCACGCAGCACUCCGAUCGCGAAGGCAGCCUUCCGGCCCGUCAACGACGCUCAUGCUCGAAGGUGCGGGUAUCAAACAGGAUUAGAUACCCUGGUAGUCCGCACAGUAAACGAUGGACACCCGCGGUUUGGCCUGUAUGGCUGAGCCGCCAAGCGAAAGCGUUAAGUGUCCCACCUGGGGAGUACGCCGGCAACGGUGAAACUCAAAUGAAUUGACGGGG